UACGUAGGGGGCAAGCGUUGUCCGGAAUUAUUGGGCGUAAAGCGCGCGCAGGCGGUUUUUUAAGUCUGGUGUAUAAACCUUGGGCUCAACUUAAGGAGGCACUGGAAACUGGGGAACUGGAGUGUAGGAGAGGAAAGUGGAAUUCCACGUGUAGCGGUGAAAUGCGUAGAGAUGUGGAGGAACACCAGUGGCGAAGGCGACUUUCUGGCCUAUAGCUGACGCUGAGGCGCGAAAGCGUGGGGAGCAAACAGG
rnacentral:rRNA from 1 species